GACGAACGCUGGCGGCGCGCUUAACACAUGCAAGUCGAGCGAAGCGGCGGACGGGUGAGUAACACGUGAGUAACCUGCCUUAGACAUUGGGAUAGCCUCGGGAAACCGGGAUUAAUACCAAAUGGUCUAAGAUGGACUCGCGUCCCAUUAGCUAGUUGGUGAGGUAACGGCCCACCAAGGCGACGAUGGGUAGCCGGCCUGAGAGGGUGAACGGCCACAUUGGAACUGAGAAACGGUCCAAACUCUACGGGAGGCAGCAGUGGGGAAUAUUGCACAAUGGAGGGAACUCUGAUGCAGCGACGCCGCGUGAUUUAGAAGGCCUUCGGGUUGUAAAAAUCUUUUCUAUGGGAAGCAGUACCAUAGGAAUAAGGACCGGCUAAUUACGUGCCAGCAGCCGCGGUAAUUC
rnacentral:rRNA from 1 species